rnacentral:pre_miRNA from 1 species
GGAGCGGCGCGGGCGCGGGAAAAGUUCGCAUUUUGACUUGGUACGGAGGGAGUCAAGCUCGAACUUUUCCUGCGUCGCUGCCC